rnacentral:rRNA from 1 species
CCUACGGGAGGCAGCAGUGAGGAAUAUUGGUCAAUGGACGAAAGUUUGAACCAGCCAAGUCGCGUGAAGGAUGACUGCCCUAUGGGUUGUAAACUUCUUUUAUAUGGGGCUAAACCGUUCCACGUGUGGGAUUUUGUAUGUACCAUCUGAAUAAGGAUCGGCUAACUCCGUGCCAGCAGCCGCGGUAAUACGGAGGAUCCGAGCGUUAUCCGGAUUUAUUGGGUUUAAGGGGAGCGUAGGUGGAUUGUUAAGUAAGGGGUGAAAGUUUGAGGCUCAACCGUAAAAGUGCAGUUGAAACUGGCAGUCUUGAGUACAGUAGAGGUGGGCGGAAUGUGUGGUGUAGCGGUGAAAUGCUUAGAGAUCAUGCAGAACUCCGAUUGCGAAGGCAGUUCACUGGACUGCAACUGACACUGAGGCUCGAAAGCGUGGGUAUCAAACAGGAUUAGAUACCCUGGUAAUC